GUAGGGACUAGACUGGGAGGUUAGGCGUCUCCUGUAACCAUAAACCGCCUUCAUGAUGGAGUCGAAGCCUAAAGGCGAUAUUGGGAUAUCAAAAGGCCCGUGGUCCCAACUGAGAAGCUCUGUCCUUCAGGGUUUUUAGUAUGAUGAACCGGGUCAGGACCGGAAGGUAGCAGCCCUAAGUUAUAUUAGCGACGCUUGAAGGGUAGCGGAGUGGAGGAGGGAUUGUGGAUAAACCUUUUGGUUGAUCAAUGUCCACUGAUGGUGUGUCCCUAC
rnacentral:SRP_RNA from 1 species